rnacentral:lncRNA from 1 species
AGAAGGUGACUGAGCCAGGAGGAGAGCACAGAUGGCUUGGUGGUGGUAUGGUGUGGUGAGUUGUGGGGAGGAAAAGAGGGGGGUCUGGCAGAGGUUGGGGGUGGGUGGAAUGAGGACCCUGUUUUCCUCUUUUCGUAUUGCUGUGGAUGAAGGAGAGAGAUGACAGUGCCUCUUGCCAAUCUGGUUGAGAGGGCUAUUGUGCCAGGAGUGAGAAGGAAGGAGGUGAAACAUUUCGGGAGGUGGGGUGUUUGGGAGACCAGAUUUUUUUCUGCCAGGUCCUCCUUCCCCUUCCCUCUUAGGCAUGGGGAGUGGAGCAACAGACGGAGAGUGGCAUGAAGACACAAAGGAGGAAGCACACCAUUGCCAAGACCCCAAGGAAGAAGGAUGGAAAGCGCUGGCAGUCCUGCCUGGCCCCCAGCCAGUUCCCUGCUGAAGAUGGCCAGAUCCCCUUGUCUGGUCUGUAUAUGCCACUUUUGCUGGGGUGGAAGGAGGGAAGGGCUGGCUUGCUGAGCUGGGCUCUAGAAUGGGAAGGGUACCUUUCUGCAGAUCCCAUUUGGACUCUCCACUUGAACAAGUGAGGUGUCUGAUUUUCUUCUUCGGUACCUUCCUCUCCUCCCCCUCCCUUCGCCUCACCCCGCUUUCAUCUCUCAUCACCACCUGGGUCCUACUGCUUGGCACCCAACCAACUGGAUGCUGCCACGUUUGGCAGUGCUGCACUGGCACGUGAACAGUGUCUCAGAUCCUGGCACUGCAGCAAACCCAAAGCCACCAAACAUGCUCAUGAUGCCACUUGGCAGCAGUCAGAGAGAGGGGGCUGUGCACAUAGUGGUGGCCAGGCAUUGGGUGGAGCUCUGUGCAGGGAACUGGCAUGAGAGGAUGCCCUUAACAACUGGGCUGAGUCAGCACUCCCUGGUCAAUCUCAGCUCUGCCUUCCUCCCAACUAGAUAUCCACCUCCUUCCUACCCUUAUUGCCCCCACGAAAGGGAUUUAGAUGGUACCAUAUUGAGUGUUUGAGCACCAUGCGAAAGGAAACAAGCACAGAGGGACAGGCUAGAGCACAGGCUGUAGACACACCCAAGGCUCCAGGCUAGUGGACCAUACAUAUCCUUGGACAACAAGAACAACAACAACAACAACAAAACCCUAGGAGAGCAAAAGGAGGUGGAGAGAGGGACACCAGCUGUGUUGUUACCAGGAUGGCACAAGAAGAGAUUGGAAGGGAAGUAGGAAGGAGUGACCCUCAGACCUUGCUCUUGGGUGAUGGGGUGGUUUGUACUUAUGCAUAUUUCAUUCUGCCUUGUGCCUUGUGAUUUGCUGAGCUGUGGUUGAGAUGAACUGGUUCUUUCUCCCUUGUUAAAAGGUCCAUAUUCAAUAAUAGUCCUAGAAAGAUGGAAAGGUGCUCUAGGCCUAGAGAGGUAGACAGGUGUUAGGAAGACAAAGGGACUUGUCCUUCCAGAAAGACUAUGCAAGGCACCCAGUUAGAGUUGGAUAGAUUUCCAUAUCUUUGAAAUCCAUCCCAAGAAGGGAGAUUGAGGAUAAGCAAUGAUCCCUGGUAGAGGGGAAGGCCCCUAGGAGGAGAAUCCCCAGCAUCUGUGGUGAUACAGACUAGCCCUCAGAAAACUAGACCUUGAGCCCCCAUCUGAAAGAAUUUCUAGUAGGUUUGGCUUUCCCAGUGACUGGGCAGAUCUUUAGAAGAUCUGGAAGAUUUGGCUGUGGGUGAUGUGGAGGGGAGGCUGGGUGGCUCUGGGAGAUAGGACCUGCCCAGAGGUAGGAGUAAAGUCCAUGCUGGGCUGAGCUGCUCAGGGCUGGGGAAGUUCUGAUUUCAGCAUCUCUGGAAGUGUAUGGCUACUUCAGAAGAAGCAAGGUGUUUUCCACAGCAGAGGAGACCAGGGCUGUCCUCAUCCAGGGGCUCCGUGUCGGAACCUUCUGAGUCCUGCCUGGGUCUGCGGCCUGGGUAGGGAUAGCUGAGAAUCAGAGGGGCCUAACUGGCCUUGGGCUGGAGUGGCUGCAGCUUUAUUCCUGACUGGGCACUUCCCAGGACUUUGGAAUUCCCAGGCUCAUAGCCUCUCACCGCCAGACCCCAAACCCCCCAUUAUCCUACUGCAUACAUUCCCAAGUCCCACUCCCCAGACUACCAGGUCUGGCCCCCACCCUGUGUUCCUUGCACCCUCAUUCCUUGUUUUUUCCCAUCCCCACUUCCCUUGCAGGGCUUCUCAUCUGUUUCCCCACACCUGAGCCUCUCUAGCUCCCUAGGGGCCUCACUGCCCUCCCCCCAGCUGUCCAUGC